rnacentral:rRNA from 1 species
UACGUAGGGACCAAGCGUUGUCCGGAAUCAUUGGGCGUAAAGCGCGCGUAGGUGGCUUCGUAAGUCCGUUGUGAAAGUCAAAGGCUCAACCUUUGAAAGCCGAUGGAUACUGCGGAGCUAGAGUACGGAAGAGGCGAGUGGAAUUCCUGGUGUAGCGGUGAAAUGCGCAGAUAUCAGGAGGAACACCAAUGGCGAAGGCAGCUCGCUGGGACGUGACUGACGCUGAGACGCGAAAGCGUGGGGAGCAAACAGG